rnacentral:rRNA from 1 species
AGCGAACGCUGGCGGCAUGCCUAACACAUGCAAGUCGAACGAACCGUUCGGGGUUAGUGGCGGACGGGUGAGUACCACGUGGGAACGUGCCUUUAGGUUCGGAAUAAUACAGUGAAACGUGGGCUAAUACCGAAUGUGCCCUUCGGGGGAAAGAUCUAUCGCCUUUAGUGCGGCCCGCGUCUGAUUCGCUAGGUGGUUGCGGUACUGGCUCACCAAGGCGAUGAUCUGUAGUUGGUCUGAGAGGAGGAUCAGCCACAUUGGGACUGAGACACGGCCCAAACUCCUGCGAGAGGCGGCAGUGGGGCCUCGUGCGCACUGGGCGAAAGCCUGAGGCUGCCAUGCCGCGUGCAUGAUGAAGGGCUUAGGAUUGUAAAGUUCUUUCACAGGGGACGAUAAUGACGGUACCCGGAGAAGAAGCCCCGGCUACCUUCGU